UGGGGAAUAUUGCACAAUGGGCGCAAGCCUGAUGCAGCCAUGCCGCGUGUAUGAAGAAGGCCUUAGGGUUGUAAAGUACUUUCAGCGGGGAGGAAGGUGUUGAGGUUAAUAACCUCAGCAAUUGACGUUACCCGCAGAAGAAGCACCGGCCAACUCCGUGCCAGCAGCCGCGGCAAUACGGAGGGUGCAAGCGUUAAUCGGAAUUACUGGGCGUAAAGCGCACGCAGGCGGUCUGUCAAGUCGGAUGUGAAAUCCCCGGGCUCAACCUGGGAACUGCAUUCGAAACUGGCAGGCUAGAGUCUUGUAGAGGGGGGUAGAAUUCCAGGUGUAGCGGUGAAAUGCGUAGAGAUCUGGAGGAAUACCGGUGGCGAAGGCGGCCCCCUGGACAAAGACUGACGCUCAGGUGCGAAAGCGUGGGGAGCAAACA
rnacentral:rRNA from 1 species